rnacentral:rRNA from 1 species
GCGUAUAUUAAAGUUGUUGCAGUUAAAAAGCUCGUAGUUGGAUCUCAGGGUGAGCUCAAUUGGUCGGCCUACUUGGUCAGAACUGGCUGACUCUCCCUUGUUUCUGAAUCCCGCUCGGAGUUAAUUCUUCGGGUGUGGACUUCAGAUCGUUUACCUUGAAAAAAUUAGAGUGUUCAAAGCGGGCGUUUGCUUGAAUACAUUAGCAUGGAAUAAUGGAAUAGGACCCUGGUUCUAUUUUGUUGGUUUUGAGGACCAGAGUAAUGAUUAAUAGGGAUAGUUGGGGGCAUUCAUAUUUAAUUGUCAGAGGUGAAAUUCUUGGAUUUAUGAAAGAUGAACUUCUGCGAAAGCAUUUGCCAAGAAUGUUUUCAUUAAUCAAGAACGAAAGUUAGGGGAUCGAAGACGAUCAGAUACCGUCGUAGUCUUAACCAUAAACUAUGCCGACUAGGGAUUGGGAGCGGUUUGUUCAUUGACCCUCUCAGCACCUUACGAGAAAUCAAAGUUUUUGGGUUCCGGGGGGAGUAUGGUCGCAAGGCUGAAACUUAAAGG